CCCGGUGUGGACUAGCUACUGAAUCAUAGAAUUUUUUAAAAUUCAUGAUGUCGUAAGGGAAAAUAAUGAUAAUACCUUACUAUGAGUGUCGUCCAAAUCUAGUGCCAGAAGACUCGGUAAGACCAGAGACGCGAACGUUAAUCAUCUUAAACAGGCGUAAAGGGUUUGUAGGCAGCUUUCAUAAGAAUAUGAUUUUUAAAAUAAAGUAAUCUAAUUGAAAGCUAGAAUCAAAAAGAGGUUAUAGUGUAUAACGCCUAGAGGAGGGCUGAUAUCCUUAGAUCCUAGGCAGAAUACUCAGGGCGAAGGCCACUCUCCACUAAUGAUUGACGCUGAGAAACGAAGGUUAGGGUAGGAAAUAGGAUUAGAUACCCCGGUACUCCUUUCUGUAAACGAUGAAUGGUAGUCAUUAGUUUAUUUACAUAACUAGAGAUGAAGUUAACACAAUAACCAUUCCGCCUUGUGAGUACUACUGCAAAGUAGAAAACAAAAAAAUUAGUCGGUCUCGAAGCAAACGGAGUGAAGGCAUGUUAUUUAAUUAAUAAAAACCCGGCA
rnacentral:rRNA from 1 species